UCACCUUCUGCCAAUUUCCUGCAGAAUCUGUCGGGUGCCACAUAAGAACCGUACAUAAGACCACAGAAAUCACCUGAUCACCUGACUCUAAUUCUCUGUUUGCUACUGCUACUGCUAUUGCUGCUUCACUCUCGAUCAGGGCUGAUAACGAGAAUCCAACUCUAAAGAUGUUCAGCUAUUCACUCUGUUUGACUUUGGUUGCACUGAUAAUUAUCGCCAGAGAUGUGUCUUGUAAAAAAAAGAAAUGUCCGAAGAAGAAAUUGGAGGAAUGUACGGAAUUCUGCAUGGUAUUUUGUGACCCAAACAUGAGAGUUUACGACCACGCCGACAAUGAGGGAUGUGUGGCCCACUGCUGCCGGAAUGGUCUCCCGAGUGAAAUGGAAGAUGCAAACAUCUACUGCAAAUUUGAAGAACGCGAAAGAUUAUACUAAGGUUUCUGUGAUUGAAUGUAAGACCCUGGCCCAGAUGCAAUGAGUGUUUCAUACGGACAAGGUCUAUCCCAAAUUUUCUCUGUAUCAGCAAUAGAAUAAACACAUCACGAUGUUAGAAUGAAUCAUUAAAA